rnacentral:rRNA from 1 species
UACAGAGGUCCCGAGCGUUGUUCGGAUUCACUGGGCGUAAAGGGUGCGUAGGCGGUUCUGAAAGUCUGAUGUGAAAUCUCCGGGCCCAACCCGGAAAUGGCAUUAGAAACUACAGGGCUAGAGGCUUGGAGGGGGAACUGGAAUUCUCGGUGUAGCAGUGAAAUGCGUAGAGAUCGAGAGGAACACCAGUGGCGAAGGCGAGUUCCUGGACAAGUCCUGACGCUGAGGCACGAAAGCGUGGGGAGCAAACAGG